GGUUAAAAAGCUCGUAGUUGGAUUUCUGUUGAGGAUGGCCAGUCCGCACUUGGUGCGAGUAUUUGGUUCAGCCUUGGCAUCCUCCUGGGGAGCGUAACUGUGCUUGAUUGCAUGGUACGUAAUUCAGGACUUUUACUUUGAGGAAAUUAGAGUGUUCACGGCAGGCAAUCGCCUUGAAUAUGUUAGCAUGGAAUAAUAAUAUAAGACCUCGGUUUUAUUUUGUUGGUUUCUAGAAGCGAGGUAACGAUUA
rnacentral:rRNA from 1 species